rnacentral:rRNA from 1 species
UACGUAGGGGGCAAGCGUUGUCCGGAAUCAUUGGGCGUAAAGCGCGCGUAGGCGGCCCGGUAAGUCCGCUCUGAAAGUCCAGGGCUCAACCCUGGAAAGCGGGUGGAUACUGCCGGGCUAGAAUCCGGAAGAGGCGAGUGGAAUUCCUGGUGUAGCGGUGGAAUGCGCAGAUAUCAGGGGGAACACCAAUAGCGAAGGCAGCUCGCUGGGACGGUAUUGACGCUAAGGCGCGAAAGCGUGGGGAGCAAACAGG